GGUCUAGCACCCAACAUAUAUAAAGAACAUUUAUCAUUAAUAAAAUGAUAACUCAGACAACAAGAGAAAGCUUUCCUGAAGACUACACAGGGGGAGAGAGUACCAUGAUGAGACUCGGGUUAUUAGUCAUUAGGAAACUGUCAAAUCCAUAGGGAAGUGCAGCUUACAUAGACUGGUACUGGCUAUUUUCAAAAAAUUUAAACUUUCUCGUGGAUUAUAAAGUUUAUGUUGCUACUUCAAGAGACUGUUGAGAUGCUCUCUUGAAGGUUAAAAAAAAAAAAACUUACCGUGUGAGUAGUUUAGUUCCUUAGCAUGUACCCAAGGAGGAUAAGAUCAUCUGUCCCCACAAAAAUCUGAUCACAAAAACAUUCAUAGAAUUAUUCAUAAUAGGCAGAAGAGACAGUCCAAGUACCCACGAACAAUGAGCAAAUAGUGUGGUUUAUGCAUACAGUGGAAUAUUAUUCAGCCAUGAAAAGGAAUGGACUACUGAUUACACAACAAAGCCAGAUGUUUAAAGAUAACGUUAUCCCACUGACACGUAAAGAUCAUUCUUGGCGUAUAUAGUGACCAAGAAAUGGAUCUGUAUUUGUGGGGAGCUGGGCAGAGAAGGAUCAGAGUGCUUGCCGAUCGGUACAGGGUUUCUUUCUGGGAAAGUAAAGAUGCUCCUUGCUUAAUAGUGGUGAUGGUUUCAUAAGUCUUGAAUAUGCUGUGGAGACCCGUUGUAUUGCUUAGCUGGUAGGAUUUUAAGUUGAGAGUUAAGUCUCUGGAAGAAGAAUUCAGUAUCUCUGAGUUUCUGUGGUAAAGUGAAUGCAGUUGUUAGUAUUUCCUGCAACCUCCCAUAACCUCCCCCCCACAACACACACACACACACACACACACAAACACACACACACACACACACACACACACUGAUGGGUAGGCUGUAAAUACUGUGAACCUUUGCAUUUUUCUGUCCAUGUGGUAGGACCUGGGACUGAGUAGACCUGGUAUUCGUGUGAACACCCUGAGAUCGGUUGUCAUAUGUGUUCCUGAGCUACUAUCGGUUGUCAUAUGUGUUCCUGAGCUACUAUCGGUUGUCAUAUGUGUUCCUGAGCUACUAGUAUUAUUUCCUCUCCUCCCCCAGCCGCAUUAGAGCGCAGCAGUCUUUCUUAGCUCCUAGGUUGAGCAUCAACGUAUGAGCUGAGUUUAGGUUAGUGUUUUUCCUCGUGGUUCUGAAUUUAAACUUUAGGAACAUUUUGACAGUCUCUGGGGGCGGAGGUAUCUCUGGAGGCCUAUGCAAGUCACCCCUAUAGUUACUGAGGGGGGCAGCCUUCAUCCUGAUGGGUUUUAGAAUGUGACACAUGUCACUUUCUUUGGCCUAGGCUCCGUACAUCAAGCAGGCAUCAGACACCCUUGUAGCUGUGCCUCCCAGGCUUGGCCUCUGUCCCCACUGCGUAGGAUGCUGGUCUUUCUGAACAGUCACUUUUAUUUUCUUUCCCCACUUCUAUUUCCACAAUGCUAAGCCAAUGCUAGGCCACUGAGCCUGGGGAAAUUUAGGCCCACCACCUUGCCUCCCUCUGACUCUCCCAGUGACUCACUCCUGCUGGGAAGGCGAUGUCUCAGCCACCUCUUGACCUGAGAUCCCUUUGGAAUGGAGGCCGCCUUGCUGGCUGCUGUGUUCUCCGGGUGUCAUCUGUCUUCCGUGGCUGUUCACCACUGGAAACCCUCUGCAGAGAUUUUUUUUUUUCCCUUUGGUUAGAGUGUCUUUGUUUCAUUUAGUGCCCAGAACUUGGGUAGGAACUUGAGGGGAGUUAAAAGCCAUGGCGUUUUCCUCUUAGUGCCUUGUGUAGCCACAGCAUUGUGUCUGCCUGUCCUGGCUCUAUCUCCUGUCUGUGGAUGUGUAUCACAGCUUCCCUCCAUGGCACAGAUGCACGAGAGGCAGGGUCAGCUGGGUUGGUAAGUCAGUCUUCUGUCUCUGCAUGCCUGUCAUUGUUAUUGUUGGGCACAGGUGCUGUUACUUGGGGAUCUGGGACAUAGCAUGCAGCGUGUCUCCCCCACGCCACGUCGUGGGUGUACUGUUCUUAUGAAAGGUUCUCUCAAAGUCACGCAUGUGUUAAGUGAGUCUUUUUCAUGGAGUGGUAGCAUUUCUUUUUCUUUUGGGGGUGGCGGGUUGAGACAGGAUUUCUCUGUAUAGCCCUGGCUGUCCUGGAACUCAUUCUGUAAACCAGGCUGGCUUCGAACUCAGAAAUUUGCCUGCCUCUGCCUCCUGAGUGCUGGGAUUAAAGGCAUGUGCCACAACACCUGGCUAGUGGUAACGUUUCUUAAACACUCCUGCCAUCUUUACGCUUAGGAUUGUCCUCUGUAAAGUGGUAUGUUGUGUGUUCUUCCAAGACAGAGCAACACUACCCACCCCCAUGAUGCCCCAAAGGAAAUAAUUAAGAAGUGCUUAAAUGAUGAAUGUGUUUGCUUAAGACUCACAGUGUGAUUGAGAAGAGUCCCUGUGACUUUAGAAGUGUUAGCUGUGAAUCCUUUACAUGUUUGUGGUCCUGAAAUGUGGCAUCUAUCC
rnacentral:lncRNA from 1 species